GAACAUGAAUUCCAGGUUCUCAAAUUCUGAAAGGUGGAUACGGAUGAGAGAAGGAGGCAGCAUCAUUCCAAUCCCUUCUUCUGGGAACGACACCAGGUUUGAGCAUCCUCCACCUCCGAUGGUCAAUCCUUGAAGAGAGGGAAUCCCUCCGAUGGAAAUGAUAUGUCAGCCGAACAGUUGCUCACUCUUAAUUGUCGAAGGGAGGUGAUGCUGGCCAUGCACUUAGGAAGGGCUCCAAAAUUUUCACAAUUAACAACUUUGAAAGCUCUGAAGCUGGUGGUGAGCAACCCACUUUCUUCAAAAGAAACCAAAUUUGAACACGAAUACAACAAAAUCUCCUGGAGAUGGAUGAGCUUGUCUAGUCCUCGUGGUAGAGAUUUAAUUCCAGAAAGUAUAAUUGCAAUAGAUUCAAGACAAACGGUUUCCUCAAACUCUUGGGCUAUGUAUUCCAACUCUGGACAUACCUCAAUUCUCAAAUGUUUAAGCCUUAUGGGUAACGUGGUGUUUGAAAAUAGGCAACUCAGCUUUUAGCAGUCAGUAAUUUGGAGAAUUUGAAGCUGAUUGCAAAUAUUUUUGUGCCCCUUCGAUGACAAAGACAUUAGAGAUGGACAACUACAGAUGCACAAGUCCUCAAGAAGACAGAGGGUACUACUCAUACUCUUAUUAUCUUCCUUUUCAUCAACCAAAUACUCCAAAUUCUCACAUUCUGCAACCCUCAGCUUUUUUAAAUUAGGAGGUAAGUUAUUCUCUGCAAAAGAAACCAAGCUUCGACAAUCAUCAAUUGCCAUCACUGUAAGGAAUGUGAGCUCAUGUAAGACUUGUGGCAAUCUAUUGAGACUUUCACAGCCAUAUAUCUCCAGAGAUUCAACGCUUGAAAUCUUGUCAGGUUGCAAUUCGGCUUCCUCGGCUUCCAAAGACUGCAGUUGAGGACAACGCUGAACGGUAAUGAAAGCGGAGGAAGAAAUCAUGAGUUGCUCAAGCUUUUUCUAAGGACGAAGAAAGUCUAGCACCCGCUCUUCGACUUCUUUUUUCCUUGUUUAAUCUCCAACUCUCUACCCCAUGUCUUCAUUAGUUUUCUUGAAAAGAUCUUUUGAAAUCAACACUACCUCGUCGAUUUAGCUUUCAUCACCUGUAAAAAAUAUAUAAAUAUAUAUCAGAAAGAUCAGACAGGAA